AGCAUAUCAAUAAGCGGAGGAAAAGAAACCAACAGGGAUUGCCCCAGUAACGGCGAGUGAAGCGGCAACAGCUCAAAUUUGAAAUCUGGCCCCCCGCGGGGGCCCGAGUUGUAAUUUGCAGAGGAUGCUUUUGGCGAGGCGCCUUCCGAGUUCCCUGGAACGGGACGCCGCAGAGGGUGAGAGCCCCGUCUGGUCGGACGCCAAGCCAGUGUAAAGCUCCUUCGACGAGUCGAGUAGUUUGGGAAUGCUGCUCUAAAUGGGAGGUAUAUGUCUUCUAAAGCUAAAUAUUGGCCAGAGACCGAUAGCGCACAAGUAGAGUGAUCGAAAGAUGAAAAGCACUUUGAAAAGAGGGUUAAACAGUACGUGAAAUUGUUGAAAGGGAAGCGCUCGUGACCAGACUCGGGCCCGGCGGAUCAUCCGGCGUUCUCGCCGGUGCGCUCCGCCGGGCUCGGGCCAGCAUCAGCUCGCCGCGGGGGACAAAGGCUUCGGGAACGUGGCUCCCACGGGAGUGUUAUAGCCCGCUGCGCAAUGCCCCGGGGCGGGCUGAGGUUCGCGCUCCGCAAGGAUGCUGGCGUAAUGGUCACCAGCGACCCGUCUUGAAACACGGACCAAGGAGUCGUCUUCGUAUGCGAGUGUUCGGGUGUGAAACCCCUACGCGUAAUGAAAGUGAACGCAGGUGAGAGCCUCGGCGCAUCAUCGACCGAUCCUGAUGUUCUCGGAUGGAUUUGAGUAAGAGCAUACGGGGCCGGACCCGAAAGAAGGUGAACUAUGCCUGUGUAGGGUGAAGCCAGAGGAAACUCUGGUGGAGGCUCGCAGCGGUUCUGACGUGCAAAUCGAUCGUCAAACAUGGGCAUGGGGGCGAAAGACUAAUCGA
rnacentral:rRNA from 1 species